AUGGUGGCUUGGGCUAGCGUGGUGGCCCUGAGGAGGGAGAGAAGCUGGCAGGUGUGAAGUGUAUGUAGGAGGUAGAGUUCACAGGAAUUUGUGAUUGGUUGGUGGAGAGAUGUGGUAGGUGAGGACGUCAAGGAGAACAGUAGGUUUCUGGUUUGGGCAAAUGGACUUCUGCCCCAUUUAUUCCACAAACAUUUACAAAGUGCAAUCAACACUCUGCAACAGUAACUCGAACUUAUUGAAAGUUAUUUUAUACAGCCUCAUUUUACAGACAAAACUGACAUCCAGAAAGGCUUAGUGACUUUCUCAAGUCACAUAGCUAAAAAGUGGCAGAGAUGGGAUUUGAACCCAGGACUUCAUAGCUUUUAAAUACAUUUCAUCAGAAACCUACAGAGGACCUAGGUACUCGUUUAAAACUCAGAAUUCUAAGCCACCCUUUCCUACCUCAAAUCUUGGAACUCAGAAUCUCUGGGGGUUGGGGCCCAGGGUUCUGCAUUUUUAACAAGCAGGUGGUUCUGAUGCACCUACAUUCUGAGAAUCACCAUCAUCGUGCAGUUCUCCCAUCCUAACUGGAGAAACCUCUCUCCAUGGUCCCUCAGAGCCUUCCCCAGCUAUCUUGAUUUCUGCAGGCAGAGAGUGAGAAGUUAGAUUCUGAAUGACCUCAGAAGCAAGACAGGCACACUUAGUCCUCUCACCAUGAAGUGCCCUAGCUCUAGUCCUGGAAGUUCCAUGAAAGUGAAUGAGGUCAGAAAUCCAGUGGUCAAGGACAUUUCUCUGAAAGAGGUCAGUCCUGCUGGUCAGAGACAGAGGCAUGUGUGGGUACAUGGGGCUGGGGUCCAGGACUACCAUGAGUUAGAGGCCUGGCUUCCAACCCCACACCACCCUCAGCAUUUCUGCCACCAAGAUCUGUUCUCAAGCCCUAGGGGCUUUCAGAAACAUCACUCAGGGCUCCAGACCACAGAAGGGCUCUUGGAGAUCAUCUUAUACAACUCUCCCAUUGUAGAGCCGAAAAGCCUAAGGCUCAGAGAUGUGUCCCCUUGCCCUGCAGUCCCCCAUGCCCCGGAGUGCUGGCUGGGGUUGGACACAGAGAUAUUUCAGCAGGUGUCCUGGCAGCAACACAUCCCCUAAAGCCCCGCUCGUUGUAAGGCGGAUCUGUGAAGCCGCACUUCUGUUUGCUCAGCAUCUGUGCCAGGCGAGGCCUCACCCUGGACAAACACAGCCAGCCAGGCGGCAGGCACCAAGCUCCUUUGUUCUUGGGUCUGAUAGCAGAGGCAGCAGGGCCAGCAGGUAACGGAGGGCCUGUCCUCACCGGAUGUUGGCACUGUGGUUCCCACGGGAAUGCUUCCUGGAGAAGACUGGGGUACUGGCUAUAACAGCCCAGGGCAAGAAGAAUGGAAACUUCCUGAGAGCAGGAGCUGCUCUUGUUUAUCACUGAAUCUCCAGUAUAAGGACCAGUGCCCUACAUGAAGGAGCCUCUCAAUAACAAUUUAAUAAAUAAUUAGUAGUUACAGUAAA